UACGUAGGGUGCAAGCGUUAAUCGGAAUUACUGGGCGUAAAGGGUGCGCAGGCGGUUCUGCAAGUCAGGCGUGAAAUCCCCGGGCUUAACCUGGGAAUGGCGCUUGAAACUACGGGACUGGAGUAUGGCAGAGGGAGGUGGAAUUCCACGUGUAGCGGUGAAAUGCGUAGAUAUCGGGAAGAACAUCGGUGGCGAAAGCGCUCUACUGGACGGCAACUGACACUCAGGGACGAAAGCUAGGGGAGCGAAUGGG
rnacentral:rRNA from 1 species